ACGACCGGCGCACGGGUGCGUAACGCGUAUACAAUCUACCUUGUACUAUUGGAUAGCCCAGAGAAGUUUGGAUUAAUACAAUAUAGUAUUAUAUAUCGGCAUCGAUUUUAUAAUUAAAGGUUACGGUACAAGAUGAGUAUGCGUCCUAUUAGUUAGUUGGUAAGGUAACGGCUUACCAAGACAGCGAUAGGUAGGGGCCCUGAGAGGGGGAUCCCCCACACUGGUACUGAGACACGGACCAG
rnacentral:rRNA from 1 species